GUGGAAACAUUGGGGGAAAUGCUACGCUCAAUUUCAAUUUUCUGUGCUGAAUUUCAGAGGCUGCGAAACGGCGAUUCAAGAUAAAAUAAAAAAUAAAUAAAUUAAAGCGUCCUAUUUGAUUGCCGUUUUUCCUGAUCAGAGGAAUGUGGCCUACACAGCAGACCAAGAUCAGCAUCAUAUCAAGAUGACAUGCACAUGCUCCAUGCUGCAAAAGCCAGAAAGUGUUCUAGUUUUCCAAACAUGCUCCACUCUAUGUAUAUGAAGUGCUUUCACAGAUCUUGUGAGUGUGUCUUUUCAGCCUAGUCUGUACGUGCAUUUCAAUUGAAAUGGAAAACUUUUCUAUUGGAGCAUGUUUUGAAGCUCUUGAUAAGCUAACAUCAGCAGAUUUUGAAGGCGAAAGCCAUUGCUAUGAGGAAGCACUGGAGAGGAGGCUAAAUAUCUUAAACUACUGGCUGGAGAAGGAAGAAAAUGUCAACCUUAAGUCAUCAUUACAUGAUAUUUUACUCUCAGAUGACUUUCAGUGGCAUGGAGACUGUAAUAUCAAUGUGCGUCUCUCGCUGGCGGUGCUGGCGCUGCUGGAGCUGCUGCGCCGCUGCCUGGAGGCGGCGCGCGCCUCC